CACGGAGUUAGCCGAUGCUUAUUCAUAUGGUACCGUCAUCAACGUACACGUACGCCUUAUUCUUCCCAUAUAAAAGCAGUUUACAACCCAUAAGGCAUUCUUCCUGCACGCGGCAUGGCUGGUUCAGUCUUCCGACCAUUGACCAAUAUUCCUCACUGCUGCCUCCCGUAGGAGUCUGGUCCCUGUCUCAGUACCAGUGUGGGGGAUCUCCCUCUCAGGACCCCUACCUAUCGUAGCCUUGGGGUGCCGUUACCACUCCAACUAGCUAAUAGGACGCAUGCCCAUCUUUCACCACCUCAGUUUUAAUUGCCAAAUGAUGCCAUCCAACAAUAUUAUGGGGUAUUAAUCCAAAUUUCUUCGGGCUAUCCCCCUGUGAAAGGUAGGUUGCAUACGCGUUACGCACCCGUGCGCCGGUUUCUGCCCCGAAGGGCUUCUCCCUCGACUUGCAUGUGUUAGGCCUGCCGCUAGCGUUCAUCCUGAGCCAGGAUCAAACUCU
rnacentral:rRNA from 1 species